rnacentral:tRNA from 1 species
GGGGAGGUGUCCGAGGGGCUGAAGGAGCCCGCCUGGAAAGUGUGUAUACGGAAACGUAUCGGGGGUUCGAAUCCCCCCCUCACCGCCA